rnacentral:misc_RNA from 1 species
GCAGAAGGAUCAUUAGUGAAGAUUUGGGCAGGCCAUACGGACGCCAAAAAGUGUCCCUGGCCGCCUACACCCACUAUACAUCCACAAACCCGUGUGCACUGUCUUGGAGAAAGGCUUCAGAGAGGUUUUUUGUGGCCUCUCUUGGGGUCUUUCUUCGCUACAAACUCGAAUGGUUAGUAUGAACGUGGAACUUGGUUGGACCGUCACUGGCCAACAAACUAUACACAACUUUCGACAACGGAUCUCUUGGUUCUCCCA